UGGGGGAUAACGCAUCGAAAGAUGCGCUAAUACCGCAUAAUCUCUAAGGAGAAAAGCAGGGGAUCGCAAGACCUUGCGCUUUUGGAGCGGCCGAUGUCUGAUUAGCUAGUUGGUGAGGUAAAGGCUUACCAAGGCUUCGAUCAGUAGCUGGUCUGAGAGGACGACCAGCCACACUGGGACUGAGACACGGCCCAGACUCCUACGGGAGGCAGCAGUGGGGAAUUUUGGACAAUGGGGGCAACCCUGAUCCAGCCAUGCCGCGUGAGUGAAGAAGGCCUUCGGGUUGUAAAGCUCUUUCAGCCGGAACGAAAAGGUUACGGUUAAUACCCGUGACUAAUGACGGUACCGGAAGGAGAAGCACCGGCUAACUACGUGCCAGCAGCCGCGGUAAUACGUAGGGUGCGAGCGUUAAUCGGAAUUACUGGGCGUAAANGCGUGCGCAGGCGGUUUUGUAAGUCAGAUGUGAAAUUCCCCGGGCUUAACCCUGGGAACUGCGUUUGAAACUACAAGGCUAGAGUGUGGCAGAAGGGGGGUGGAAUUUCCACGUGCUAGCAGUGAAAUGCGUAGAAGAUGUGGAGGAACACCGAUGGCGAAGGCAGCCCCCUGGGUUAACACUGACGCUCAGGCACGAAAGCGUGGGGAGCAAACAGGAUUARAUACCCUGGUAGUCCACGCCCUAAACGAUGUCGACUAGUUGUCGGGUCUUAACGGGCUUGGUAACGCAGCNUAACGCGUGAAGUUGACCGCCUGGGGAGUACGGUCGCGAGAUUAAAACUCAAAGGAAUUGACGGGGAUCCGCACAAGCGGUGGAUUAUGUGGAUUAAUUCGAUGCAACGCGAAAAACCUUACCUACCCUUGACAUGUACCGAAGCCCGCCGAGAGGUGGGCGUGCUCGAAAGGGAACGGUAACACAGGUGCUGCAUGGCUGUCGUCAGCUCGUGUCGUGAGAUGUUGGGUUAAGUCCCGCAACGAGCGCAACCCUUGUCAUUAAUUGCCAUCAUUCGGUUGGGCACUUUAAUGAAACUGCCGGUGACAAACCGGAGGAAGGUGGGGAUGACGUCAAGUCCUCAUGGCCCUUAUGGGUAGGGCUUCACACGUAAUACAAUGGCGCGUACAGAGGGUUGCCAACCCGCGAGGGGGAGCUAAUCUCAGAAAGCGCGUCGUAGUCCGGAUCGGAGUCU
rnacentral:rRNA from 1 species